rnacentral:lncRNA from 1 species
AAUUCAUCCGUUGCAGGCGAUUGCGUGGUCACUGCUGAUCCACCCUGCUGUGAGAAGCUCCGCUUGGAACUGUGGGUGCCCUGUGUGUCCUCUGAGGGAGGCUCCUCGGUGGCCCUGCCAGUGGCUCCAGCUGUGGAGGGCUUGCUCUUCCCUACAUUCAGGGUCAGACGUUUUGAACGCAUCAACUCUCUUAAUCAGCAUGACACCGUUUUGAGGCAGGAAUAAGCACCAUCCUUCUUUCCAGUCUAAUUAACACAAUAACUCACUUGGUUGCUCAAGACCAUAUCUGAAUAGCAGCUACCCUCGAGAUGGUAAGAUGACAGAUGUCUGGCUUUCUUGCAAUGUGGAGUAAGCAACUUUGAUCAGAAGGAGGCAUCAGGCAUGCCACAGAAGGGAAAGUACUCAGGAAGACUAAACACAGCCUCUACGACCAUAAGACGAUGGGUGCAAUAUACAAGGACCUUGUGAAGAAGCAAGGUAGGAUACAGGAGUGAAAACAGGACACUCUACAGUGUUUGUAGCCUAAUGGCCAGAAGGCAAUGUAGCCUAGAGCAUCUUUCCUCUUGGCCAAGUGGAUCUGCUGCAUGUGCACGUGUUAGAGUGACAUAUGUAGUACCUGAUGUCAUCACAUGGCCCUCGUGAGACCAUACAGCACCAUCUGGGAUCUAGGCCAGCUGUGAAUGACUCGAGGCACAGCUAACAGUUCUGGUUCUUUAGGGCUACUCCUGAAGUAACACUGAUAUUUCUAAGACUUGGAAGAACAGGAGGGGACCUGGGUCCCUGAUCCUCUCCUAGCCCAAGAUAUCUGUCACAUGAGAGCAGAAUUACAGCCUGAUGUCUUCUGCACAGCUACAUACAGAGGCUGGAAGCAGCUGGUGUGACCAUAUAAGACUGUAAAGGUAAGGUCUUGAAAUUCUUUACCAGAGUAAUGUUCUACUGGCUGACCUGCCUUCAGGGCCAGGGGGCAGGUGGUUGGCUUCUGUCUUAGGGUUUCUAUUUCUGUGAUAAAACACCACGAUCAGAAGCAACUUGGGGAGAAAUAAGUUUAUCUCAGCUUAUGCUUCCACAUCGAAGUCCAUCAUUCAAGGAAGUCAGUGCAGAAACUCAAGUGAACAGAAGCCAUGGAGGAAUGCUAUUUGCAGACUUUCUCUCCAUGGCUUGCUCAGCCUGCCUUCUUAUCUAAGACCACCAGUCCAUGGAUGGCCCUGGACACAGAGAGUUGGGCCCUCCCACAUCCAUCCCUAAGGAUGAGAAUUCCCUACAGAUUUGCCCACAGGCCAGUCUGAUGGGGACACUUUCUCAGUGAAGGUUUCCUCUUCCCAGAUGACUCUAGCUUGGAAUUUUCUAUCUGCUUAGGUGCUUUCUGUGGACGAGACUCAUGAUCGAAAGCUGCAUUAGUCAGAGUUUUCCACAGACAAAGAGUUAACAUCUGUGGGGCUAGGGGGUAAAGAGAAUGUGUGUUAAAGAACUAGCUCAUGGGACUGUGAAGGUGUGGCAAGUCCACAGUCUGCUGGGAUUGGGCCAGAGGGCUGAGGACUCUUGAAAGAAAGAGUGGCCAUCAAACCCAAAGGUCACUGGCAAGCAGAAUCCUUCCCAGUUUGGGAACUCAAUCUUUGUGAGAUUUAGCAUCUUACAAAUUUCCUACAGAAAUAGACUUGAACACAACAAAAAGGAGCAAGAUUCUUUAAAGGACAAACACAAAGCUUAUACUUGCUGGAGAGAUGAAAGGAGAGAGGACGGGGACAAGAGAGCCCUUCCUCUUAGAAGCUUCCUUUGUGUGCUUUUGAAAAGUGUUUGUUCCUUGAUUUUUUUUUUUUUAUGUCUGCAUAUGUAUGCCUGAGUACAUGUAUGUGUGCCAUAGGCCUACAGGAGCCCUCGGAGGUCAAAUGAGGGUGUUUGGUCCCCCAAAUUGAAGUUACAAGCAGUUGUGAGCAGCCAUACAGGGGCUGGGAACUGAACCCAGGUCCUCUGCAAGGACAAUCGUGUUCUUCACCACUGAGCCAUCUCUCCAGCCCCCUCCCUCUGUUCUUUGCCCAAGUGACCAAGUGACCAAGUGACCUUGACUCCUUUGCUCUUGAAUUCUUCAUGCUUGUUAUCUAUUGUUUGACCGGUACCAUGUAUAUUUGUCUGUCUGAUGUCUGAGAUUCAAUCGGAUCAGCCUUAUAGUAAGUGUUUGUAGGAUGAGACUGAAACUUUCUUCUUGAUGGGUUGCCUCCGUACUGAUUUCUCAAAGUUAUCCUGUCAUUGCAUGUUUAUAAGAUCAUAAAUUCCAGAGCAGGAUGACAUCUUGGGGUUCACCAACUUCAACUACCUGGGUACUGGGAAACUGAGUUCCAGGUAUAUUAAGUAUAGAUGAGCCUUAGCCCCAGUUCACAUAUUUCCAUCACUUUCUCUAUGGCAUUAUGAGAAGAAAGCAUGAGAAUAUCACAGCCAGGAUACCGAGCCCCCCUCACACAUACACACACAUACACAGACAGACAGACAGACAGACAGAGACAGAGAGGGCCAUGCCUCCUUCCACAUAUUGCACGUUCAUCACUGCGGGAAGUAAUGUCUCAGUUUGGUUGGUGGGAAACAAAAUGGCUCGUGCAGCAAAGCUGGCCCUAGUGAGGGAUCCGCAGAAGAGGAGGCUGGGGUUUCCUGGAUCAUCGUCAGGCGCUAUCCCUAAAGAGCUACCAUGGGGUUAGUAAGCCUUUCCACAGAGCCAAUUUUGGAUGGUGGUUCUGAUUGCUGGAUAAAUCACAGCAGGAAAUUGAAAUGAGUGUGUGAAGGGCACAGGCAGGGUACAUUCCAGGGCAGUGAACAGCCCUGUCUACCUGAGAGACAUCAUUGCAUCAGAGCAGAGAGGACCAUGCACAAUGUCCAGGGAAAUCAGGAGGGACAAGGCAAAAGAGAAGAGUAUAUAUGAGAUACAUAAAUCAAAAUGAUAAAGUGACAUAAGAGGAUUGCUGAAUUAAAAGAAAGGAAGGAAGUGGUAGCUGAAGACAAAACUAAAUGGGACACAAGACUGCAAGAAGAACAAAGCCUCAGAACUAUAUUUACCUCUCGGCAGCUCUUGGCUUGGCAAGUUAUUCAGAGUCUCAUUUUCAUGCCAGGUUACACUGACAUGACCAUGAAGCACUCCUGUUCUUUCUCCUUGUCAGCUAAUGCACAGAGAAUGCAAAUGUC